UGGUAUCUCGCACGUGCAUGAUGCUAUCAUGCAGUCGAGCGCUCUGAUUAUAACUUGCUUCUAUGACGUUAGCGGCGGACGGGUGAGUAACGCUUGGGCAACCUGCCUGUAAGACUGGGAUAACUUCGGGAAACCGAGCUAAUACCGGAUAGGAUCUUCUCCUUCAUGGGAGAUGAUUGAAAGAUGGUUUCGGCUAUCACUUACAGAUGGGCCGGCGGUGCAUUAGCUAUUUGGUGAGGUAACGGCUCACCCAGGCAACGAUGCAUACCCGACCUGAGAGGGUGAUCGGCCACACUGGGACUGAUACACGGCCCACACUCCUACGGGAGGCAGCAGUAGGGAAUCUUCCGCAUUGGACGAAAGUCUGACGGAUCAACCCCGCGUGAGUGAUGAAGGCUUUCGGGUCUUAAAACUCUGUUGUUAGGGAAGAACAAGUACAAGAGUAACUGCUUGUACCGUGACUGCCCCUAACCAAAAAGCCACGGCUAACUACGUGCCCUCCGCCGCGGUAAUACGUAUGUGGCAAGCGUUAUCCGGAUUUAUUGGGUGUAAAGCGCGCACAGGCGGUUUCUUAAGUCUGAUGUGAAAGCCCACGGCUCACCCGGCUAGGGUCAUUGAGAAACUGGGGAACUUGAGUGCAUAAGAGAAAAGCGGAAAUUCCACGUGUAGCGGUGUAAAUGCGUAGAUAUGUGUAAAGAAACACCAGUGAACAAAAGCGGCUUUUUGGUCUGUCACUGACUGCUGAUGCGCGAAAAGCGUGCGAGAGCAAACAGGAUUAAAUACCCUUGGUAUCUCCCUGGCCAGUACACGAUGAGUGCUAAGUGUUGAGAGGGUUUUCCGGCGGUUUUAGUGCCUGCAGCUAGACGCAAUAAAACACUCCCACCUGGCUGAGUCCGGGCGACAAGCACUGCAAACAUC
rnacentral:rRNA from 2 species